rnacentral:rRNA from 1 species
UGGGGAAUUUUGGACAAUGGGCGAAAGCCUGAUCCAGCAAUGCCGCGUGUGUGAAGAAGGCCUUCGGGUUGUAAAGCACUUUUGUCCGGAAAGAAAUCCUUGGCUCUAAUACAGUCGGGGGAUGACGGUACCGGAAGAAUAAGCACCGGCUAACUACGUGCCAGCAGCCGCGGUAAUACGUAGGGUGCAAGCGUUAAUCGGAAUUACUGGGCGUAAAGCGUGCGCAGGCGGUUUGCUAAAGACCGAUGUGAAAUCCCCGGGCUCAACCUGGGAACUGCAUUGGUGACUGGCAGGCUAGAGUAUGGCAGAGGGGGGUAGAAUUCCACGUGUAGCAGUGAAAUGCGUAGAGAUGUGGAGGAAUACCGAUGGCGAAGGCAGCCCCCUGGGCCAAGUACUGACGCUCAUGCACGAAAAGCGUGGGGAGCAAACAGGAUUAGAUACCCUGGUAGUCCACGCCCUAAAACGAUGUCAACUAGUUGUUGGGGAUUCAUUUCCUUAGUAACGUAGCUAACGCGUGAAGUUGACCGCCUGGGGAGUACGGUCGCAAGAUUAAAAACUUAAAUGAAUUG